rnacentral:rRNA from 1 species
AGGACGAACGCUGGCGGCGUGCUUAACACAUGCAAGUCGAACGGAGAUCAGCAGUGGAUCUUAGUGGCGAACGGGUGAGUAACGCGUAGGCAAUCUGCCUUCUAGAUGGGGACAACAUCCCGAAAGGGGUGCUAAUACCGAAUGUUGUAACGACUUCGCAUGAAGUUGCUACUAAAGGUGGCCUCUGAAUAUGCUACCGCUAGAAGAUGAGCCUGCGUCUGAUUAGCUAGUUGGAGGGGUAACGGCCCACCAAGGCUUCGAUCAGUAGCCGGUCUGAGAGGAUGAACGGCCACACUGGGACUGAGACACGGCCCAGACUCCUACGGGAGGCAGCAGUGGGGAAUCUUCCGCAAUGGACGAAAGUCUGACGGAGCAACGCCGCGUGAAGUGAAGAAGGUUUUCGGAUCGUAAAGCUCUUUCGUUAGGGACGAACGUGCUCUUUGUGAAUAAUGAGGAGUAAUGACGGUACCUAAAUAAGAAGCCACGGCUAACUACGUGCCAGCCGCGGC